ACGACCAAAGGUAGUGGAAAAUACGGGAUCCCCGACCGCUCUCACUUAGUCAAGCCACUAACCGGCGGAUUAGUAGUUGGGUCGGUGACGACCAGCGAAUCCCCGCUGUUGUGUGU
rnacentral:rRNA from 1 species